rnacentral:lncRNA from 1 species
CAAAGAGUAAAACCUAAUUAUAUUGUUCUAUUAUGCCCCGGGAGCGUAAAUUUGGAACGAAUCGAUGUCAACGUUCACAAGAACCAAAACCGGAACAAUAUUAGACUACUCAGUUGCGCCCUAACAGUAUAACUUUGCAACGAGUACAUUUUCUCAUUCUAUCGAACAAAGAGUUAAAAUCAAAUUAUAUUGUUCUAUUAUGCCCCGAGAGUUGUAAUUUCGAGCGAAUCGAUGUCAACGUUCACAAGAACCAAAACUGGAACAAUAUUAGGCUACUCAGUUGCGCCCUAACAGUAUAACUUUGUAAUGAGUAUUUUUUUUCAUUCUAUCGAACAAAGAAUAAAACCUAAUUAUAUUGUUCUAUUAUGCCUCGAGAGUGUAAAUUUGGAACAAAUCGAUGUCAACCUUCACAAGAACCAUAACCGGAACAACAUUAGACUACUCAGUUGCGCCCAAACAGUAUAACUUUGCAACGAGUACUUUUUCUUAUUCUAUCGAACAAAGAGUAAAACCUAAUUAUAUUGUUCUAUUAUGUCCCGAGAGUGUAAAUUUGGAUCGAAUCGAUGUCAACCUUCACAAGAACCAAAACCGGAACAACAUAAAACUACUCAGUUGCUGUUUUCUACCUCUCAUUAGCACUACUUUGCGCCGAACGACGUCAUAACCAUUCCAACACCUUUGGAACUCAUUUUUGCUGUUCCAAAUUUGUUAGAAUGCCGAUUGGAACUUGUCCAAACCAUUCGAUUGCUCACUUGGGUCCAUUUGGCCAAAGUUUGCGAAAUUCCAUCGAGUUCAAUAUCUCACAGGAACAACAUUAGACUACUCAGUUGCGCCCUAACAGUAUAGCGUUGCAAAGAGUGCUUUUUCUUAUUCUAUCGAACAGAGAGUAAAAGCUAAUUAUAUUAUUCAAUUAUGCCCCGAGAGUUGUAAUUUCGAACGAAUCAAUGUCAACGUUCAAAAGAACCAAAGCAGGAACAACAUUAGGCUACUCAGUUGCGCCCUAACAGUAUAACUUUGUAAUGAGUACUUUUUCUCAUUUUAUCGAACAAAGAAUAAAACCAAAUUAUAUUGUUCUAUUAUGUCCCGAAAGUGUAAAUUUGAAAAAUGAAUCGAUGUCAACCUUCACAAGAACCAAAACCGGAACAAUAUUAGACUACUCAGUUGCGCCCUAACAGUAUAACUUUGCAAGGAGUACUUUUUCUCAUUCAAUCGAACAAAGUGUAAAAGCUAAUUAUUUUAUUCUAUUAUGCCCCGAGAGUGUAAAUUUGGAACGAAUCGGUGUCAACGCUCACAAGAACCAAAACCGGAACAACAUUAGACUAUUCAGUUGCGCCCUGACAGUAUAACUUUGCAACGAGUACUUUUUCUCAAUCUAUCGAACAAAAAGUAAAAGCAAAUUAUAUUGUUCUAUUAUAUCCCAAGAGUGCAAAUUUGGAACGAAUCGAUGUCAACCUUCACAAGAACCAAAAUCGGAACCAUAUUAGACUACUCAGUCGCCCCUAAGAGUAUAACUUUGCAAGGAGUACUUUUUCUCAUUCAAUCGAGCAAAGUGUAAAAACUAAUUAUUUUAUUCUAUUAUGCCCCGAGAGUGUAAAUUUUGAACGAAUCGAUAUCAACGCUCACAAGAACCAAAACCGGAACAAAAUUAGAUUACUUAGUUGCGCCCUAAAAGUAUAAUUUUGCAACGAGUACUUUUUCUCAUUCUAUCGAACAAAGAGUUAAAAUCAAAUUAUAUUGUUCUAUUAUGCCCCGAGUGUUGUAAUUUCGAGCGAAUCGAUGUAAACGUUCACAAGAACCAAAAUCGGAACAGCAUUAGGCGACUCAGUUGCGCCAUAACAGUAUAACUUUGUAAAGAGUACUUUUUCUCAUUCUAUCAAACAAAGAGUAAAACCUAAUUAUAUUGUUCUAUUAUGUCCCGAGAGUGUAAAUUUGGAAUGAAUCGAUGUCAACCUUCACAAGAACCAAAACCGGAACAAUAUUAGAAUACUCAGUUGCGCCCUAACAGUAUAACUUUGCAAGGAGUACUUUUUCUCAUUCAAUCGAGCAAAGUGUAAAAGCUAAUUAUUUUAUUCUAUUAUGCCCCGAGAGUGUAAAUUUGGAACGAAUCGAUGUCAACGCUCACAAGAACCAAAACCGGAACAACAUUAGACUACUCAGUUGCGCCCUAACAGUAUAACUUUGCAACGAGUACUUUUUCUCAUUCUAUCGAACAAAGAGUAAAACCUAAUUAUAUUGUUCUAUUAUGUCCCAAGAGUGUAAAUUUUGAACGAAUCGAUGACAACCUUCAGAAGUACCAAAAUCGGAAAAACAUUAUAUUACUCAGUUGCGCCCUAAUAGUAUAACUUUGCAUGGAGUACUUUGUGCUCAUUCGCACAUCCUUGUGAGGGUCGUACCCUACAAGCCGGCACUCCGGAGAUAGCCAUCGCGACAUAUGCUCGCCCGUGCGGGAUUAUGCGCCGAAGUGGAUUGCCGUGGGGGAGGGUCAUUCCUAGAGUGGGAAUGUUGACUACCACGGGGCCAUUAGGCACGGCGCAAGCCGGACUACCCACGGGUAGGACUUACGAGUUCUGGAAACAUGAUAAUCAAAUGAAAUGUGAACUUGGACAACUAGUAAACGACGACAUCUUCACUAGUUUCAUUAUGGACAUAGUGUAUAUUAGGCUUAUUUAUGGUCAUGCUAGAGUAGCAUUCUUACUUGUACAUAUCAUGCUAUGUAGUAGCAUUGUAGUUCAUGAAACAUACAUGUUUACUUAUUGUUCGUAGUACUUUUAUAUUGCUCUUAUUGCUUAUUAUAUAUAUCCGUUCUUACCCCUUUCUUGACUUUGGGCCUAGUGGAGCAUGAUACUAAAGACAGUAAUUGCCCACUGGGAACUAUAUUUUAUAGUUCUCACGCCCCUGUUUCUUGGUUUACUUUUCAGAGCCUUCAGCAUCGACGGGGGCACGGGAUCGCGGCAAGGGAGUCGCGUAGGUUCGAUAACGGGGCGGGCUUUGCUCUUAGGUGGUCUUUUCUCCCUUUUGUUUUAUUUGGGAGAGAGAGUUUUGUACCAUGUAUAGAGACCACCCGUGAUGUAUUUAUACUCUGUUCUUUUGGGACUUUUGGGUUGUAUAACUUCAUGUUUUAUUUAGAGGAUUUGUAGCUGUAUUACAUUCUUCGUCAUAGCAUCUACUUUACUUGUACUCUGAUACCUCUAGAUGUCUCCUUUCUAUUGCUUUACUUAUUGCUUUUGUUUAGACGCCUUAUAUGUUUUAGACAUAUGGCAGGUCUGGACACGUGCCGGGCGGGCUUCCGCUGUGACCCGGGGCGCGACAAUAUAUUCAUAACCAAUACAAAUUUCCAUUUAAACGAACAAGAAUUGAAACAUCUUAAAUCAGUUCUAUAAUACCCUAAGAGUGUACAUUCGCAACGAAUACGUUUUCGCAAUCAGACGAGCCAAUAUUGGGACCUCAUAAUACUAUUCUACUAUGCCCUAAGUGUGUAUUUUCAUAACCAAAGCAAGUUCGCAUUCGAACGAAUAGUAAUUGAAACCUCGGGCGGUUCAAUUGUGCCGUAAGAGUUUACAUUCGCAAUGAAUGCGUUUUCACAAUCAAACGAGCCAAUAUUGGGACCUCAUGAUACUAUUCAAUUAUGCCCUAAGUAUGUAUAUUCAUAACCAAUGCAGAUUUAGAUUCAAACGGACAAAAAUUGAAACCUCGUGGCGUGCUGGACAAUCAAUUGUGCCCUAAGUGUGUACAUUUGCAACAAAUACAUUUUUGAAAUCAGACAAGCCAAUUAUUGGACCUUAUGAGACUAUUCUACUAUGCCCUAAGUGUGUGUAUAUUCACAACAAAAAUAAGUUUCCAUUCAAACGAACAAGAAUUGAAACCACGUGUGGCGGUUCUAUUGAGCCCUAAGAGUGUACAUUCCCAACGAAUACCUUUUUGCAAUCAGUCGAGCCAAUAUUGGGACAUCAUGAGACUAUUCUACUACGCCUUAAGUGUGUAUAUUCAAAACCAAUACAAAUUCCCAUCUAAACGAACAAGAAUUGAAACCACCUAAAUCAGUUCUAUUUUGCCCUAAGACUGUUCAUUCGCAACGAAUACAUUUUUCCAAUCAGACUAGCCAAUAUUAGGACCUCAUAAGACUAUUUUACAAUGCCCUAAGUGUGUAUAUUCAUAAUCAGUACAAGUUUCCAUUCAAACGAACAAGAAUUGAAACCUCGUGGGGCGGUACAAUUGUACCACGGAUUCAAUUUUUAAACUGUUUGAAUGCGCAUUGUGCAAUUUCACGGGAUUUAUCUAAAUUUUAAAAUUAAAAGUUAAAAUUUCAAAGUUCAAAUUUUAAAUUUUAAUGAAAUUUAAAUUUUAAAAUUUGAUAUGUGAAAUGCAAAAUUUUAAAUGUUAAAUUUUAAAUUUUGAAAAUUAAAAAUUAAAAAUCUAAAAAUCUAAAUUUAAUUUUAAAAUUUUGAAAUUUAAAAUUUUAAAAUAAAAAGUUUUAAUUUUUAAAUUUUAAAUUUAAAAUUUAGAAUUUUAAAUUUAAAAUUAAAAAAUAAAUUUAAAAUUUAAAAUUCAAAUCUCAAAUUUAAGUUCAAAAAUUUAAAUAUUGAAACUAUGAGAUUUGAAAUUUGAAUUUAAAUUUAAAAAAUUAAAAUUUUUUUAAAAAAUUUUAAAACUUAAAAAGUAAAAAUUUAAAAUUUAAAGUUUGAAAUUUGAAAUCUCAAAUUUAAAAAUUUAAAAUUUAAAAUUUAAAAUUUAACAUUUAAAAUUUGAAAUUUUAAAUUGAAAUUUGAAAUUAAAAUGUGAAAUUUAAAAUGAAAUUUGAAAAUUUGAAGUUUAAAAUUAGAUAUUGAAUUCAAACUUAAAUUUGAAUUUUGAAAAAUAAAAUUUAAAAUCAAAUUUGAAUUCUAAAUUUACAAAUUUGAUAAUUUGAAUUUAAAAAUUAAUUUGAAAUAAAAAAUUAGAUUAAAAUUAAUAUUAUAAAUUAAAAUUUGAAAUAUUUGAAAAUUAUUAUUUGUAAACUAAAAUUUAAAAUUUGAUAUUCAAAAAUUAAAUUUUUGAAUUUUAAAAUUACAAAUAAAUUUAAAUUUUAAUUUGUUCAUUUGAAUUUUGAAAUUAUAAAAUUUAAUUUUGAUAUUUUCUAUAUUUAAAUUCAAAUUCUAAAUUCAAUUAAAAAUUUGAAUAUAAAUUAAAUUGUUAAAUUUAAAUUUUAAAAUCUAUAUUGAAAUUUAAAAUUUCAUGUUGAAAUUUAAAAGUUAGAACUUGUAUGUUUGCCCAAAAAUGGUGGAAUUCUUUUCCUUUGGUUAGAGUAGAUUAUAAUUUUACUCCAUUUUUUGGAGUGUAGUUAAACUAUACUCCAAAAAUUACCGUAUUUUUUUUUCUCCCAAGCGCUUAAUAGGAUAAAUUUUCUACCGGUAUAGCAUAGUUUAACUAUGCUACAUUUUUUAGGGUAUCCAAACAGAGCCUAAGAGUGUACAUUCGCAACGAAUACUUUUUCGCAGUUAGACGAGCCAAUAUUGGAGCUAAUGAGACUAUUCUACUAUGCCCUAAGUGUGUAUAUUCAUAACAAACACAAUUUCCCAUUCAAACGAACAAAAAUUGAAACCACGUGUGGCGGUUCUAUUGAGCCCUAGUACAUUCACAACAAAUAGGUUUUUGCAAUCAGUCAAUCCAAUAUUGGGAUAUUAUGAGACUAUUUUAUAUAUUUUCACAUGCCUAAUUUUCUUGUCCAAUGGUAGAUAAUUUCAUCUAAUAACAAAUGAUUUAUACAUUCAUAUUUACCACAUACAACCGACCAUUAUAUACAUGCAUCAAUAAUAAUAUCAUACUUUACCUUUUGAUAUGGAAGUAAUCUAAUCACUUCGGUAAAGCACAACCCACUUCACAACGCUUUCGAUUGCUUGUAAACACUUGCAAUCAGACUCCCGCAGCCAACGUCGUUCAGUUUGGCUCGUUACUCAAAAUUGGUCACCGAACGCCCGUCGAUUUCCAAGUUAAAGUUGUCGGGGGAUCUCCUCUAACCUUUAAUUAGAGAACUAGAGAAUUAAUUUGGUUCAAAACCUUAAAACCUCAAAACCUCUAAUUCUAACCCUAGAUUUUUAUUUUUCCAAAAAUACCCCAAAAUUUAUAGAGAAUAUAUACAAUACAUAAUUUGAGAGUUGUAAAAUAGCUUGGGAAGGAGCCACGUUGCCAACUAAGGUAUGGGCCAAUAGGGGCUUGCCGUGUGUCCUAAAAAAUUUUGGAUGCACCCAUUGCAACAUAAAUCGACUCUAAAUAUUGAUGAUCAAACAUAAGUUUUUAUAGAAUAAUACAUUAUUUAAAUAUUUUAUAUUAUAUAUUUUAUUUUAUUUUAUUUUAUAAUAUUAAUUAUUAAAUAUUUUAUCAAUUAUUUAAUACUCUGUACAGUGUAUGAAGUAUUGGCGUGCACAAAUGCAAGCAAUGAUUUCUCCUCUUUCUUGGAAGUAUGAGUGCACCCUAUUAAAUAUUUUCUACACCAGGUAUAUAUUUGUAUAUACAUCACAUGCUUAAAAUUUUUUGAUAGAUAUUUUAAAAUUUAAUCACACAUAAUUUAAAUUAUUAGAUUUUGUAGAUUAGAUAUAUUUAAUUAAAUUUUGAUAUUAAAAUAUUAGUCAUGUAAUAUAAGCUGCGGUGUGUAGAAUAUUAAUAAUACAAGGUGUUGUAAUAUUUUCUUCUCUCUCUAAUAAAUUUUAAUAAGGCAAAAACACCCUCACAUAUUAUUCAAUUUGAAAUAAGUUUUCAAACUUUAAAUUUUUGGUUAAAAAAUUUAUAGAAUAGCUAUCAAAACUACUAAUUUGAUCAAAUUUUUAAAUAAAUUUAUUAGAAUAAUUUAACUCUACAAAUAUUAAAAAAUUGAAAAAAUAUUAAUAGAUUGUUUUAGUAAUGUAUGUAAGACUACUUUAUAAAUUUUUUGUAUUUUUUUUAGUUAUAAUUUUUUCAAUCUUAAAGCUUUAAUUAUAAUAUAUUUAAUUGAUUGAAAUACUACCUAUCCGCUAGAAUUAUUGAUUAAACUAGUAGAGAAUCAUCUAGGGAAUUCAAAAUUUCCAAUACUAAAGGAUUUAACAAAAAGCCUAACCUUUAAUCCGACUAACCCAUCAGAUCCACGAGCGCACCAAGCCUCAUCUCGCGCACGAGCUCGAUUUAUCGUUCUAUACGCGUUCCUGAGCUCAAACUUCACCAAAACCCCAAGUUUGGAAAAAAUCUAGAAAGAGAAAUCUAGAGAGAUCGUGGGGGAAAGGGAGAGCUCGGUUCCCUCUCUCUCUCUCUCUCUCUACGCAUGUGUGUGCAUGUGUGUGUUCGAACAAGGAGAAAGAGGAGAGGGUCCCUUAUAAAACCCUCACUUAAAAUUACCAAAAUACCCCUCAAACUAGGGUUUCUAUGAGCGAAGGGUCCUGACCAUGGCUCCAGAGUUUCGGACCAUGGCUCCAGAGUCCGAAACUCGUAGCCUGUUUUUCGCACAGCACAAUCAAGAUCCCGACCUUAGCCCAUGGUCCUGAAACCGAAGGUCCAAGACCUAAAAAUCGACAUUUCCAAAAAUUCUCAUUUUAGCUCCUUGAGCAUCAAAUUUGCUUCUAAUCAUUCCAAAACCCUCAAACUCAUUUUUAAGCAUAUUUAAAUUACUUCUCCAUUGUAUUUUGUCCACUUGGCCCACCACACUUCAGCCAAUGCAGUCAAAGUUCGGUAUAACGCACUGGGGAUUCGGUACGUUACACUACAAACCCCAUAUUUGAUUAUUUAAUAGUUCCAAUCACAUUGCUUAAAUGUCCAGUACAACGCAGAAGUCUUCCUAGGACCUGAAAUGAGUCUCUUCUGCAUGUGUAUUCUAUUUCAACAUGAAGCAUUAAGCAAGAAAAACAUGUACAACUUUUCAACUCUUAGCUAGUCACAUAGAAAAUAAAAUGACAGCCCCAAAAUCAAGGACUCAGCUGAUACGAUAGAAUAAGAUGGCAAAGUAAAUAUGUAGUUACUGGAAACUCAUACUCCUAAAAUGAUUUGUUUUCUUCUGGAAUCAUACAUCAAUUAACACCAAUGAACAACAAAUUAUAUGUAGAUACAGUAUGUAGAGGCGGCUAGACACCCAUCGGUGCAUUUGCUAAGCACACAGUUGUUACUCUAUGAUUCAGUUUCUCCUAUUUAAUAUCCAACUCAUCUGUGACUUUGGAACCAUCAUAUGUAGAAAGAAAAAACGAGUUUUGAUUCUUCUGCAGAAACCUGAAAAAUCAAAAGCGAAAACGAGAAACAAGCUUACACUUCCUCAGUAACAAAAACAAAGGCACUGAAAUAGCAAAGACUAACAUCAUUACUAAUGGCGCGUAAGAAGAACAGGUUUAACCAGUAAAUGUGCCAAGACUGUUUCAGAGCUUAUUCAGCGUAAUCAAUGCAAUAAAAAGGCAGAAAAUAUAUAUAUAUAGUAGGUCUUGUGUGCUAUUAGGAGCACGAAAAUCUGUGCUCCUAAGCUGAUUUUCUGAUGUAGCUUCCGAAUCGACGAUCAGCUCCGUUAGACUUGAUCUAGCAUAUUUGAAGUAUCUAGAAAAUAAAUUAUAUGACUUUUCGAUAUCAUUUACCUAACGAUCGAAAUGAUUCAAAAUUAAAGGCUGAAAAUAAAAAUCUCACAAAAAGUGGUGAUAUAGUAUUAAAAUUUUCGAUCAAAGUUACUGAUCUUGCUGUAAAUAGUAUAAAGAAUUUUCUAUCAAAAUUUCAUCUGAUUUGAAUACUUCUACACCGUUAAAACUGCAAACGGUAUACAUCAACCAUUAAAAAUUGUUGAUUUUGAACCCUUUCGAUAGCUCGGAAAAUAAUACCAAAAAAUCACAAAAAUUAUUUUCUAGAUAUUUCAAAUAUGUUAGAUCAAGUCUAACGGGGCCGAUUGUCGAUUCGGAAGCUCCAUCAUCGAAAACGGCUUAGGAGCACGGAGCACGGAGGCCUCCAUGCUCCUAAUAGUACACAAGACCUACUAUAUAUAUAUAUAUAUAUAUAUAUAAAACCACUCAAAGGACUGAGGAUUCCAAGAGUUUUGUAAAACGAUUUGGACUCUAGUGGUCUAUUGUACCACUUUCCCAACUCAUCUUUGAAAAAUUAAGGCGACAACUUUUACGCGUGAUCAAGAACUAGAAAUCAAAUGGCACAACAGGCAACCUUGUUAACAGCUAGCAUAUCCACAGCAGUAAGUAAGAUGGAAAUUGUAAGGUACCGAACUUCUGUUGUAAGGUACCGAACUUCUAAAAUUAUGAAGUUACGGCGGAUGUAGUAUGCUGGAUUUUUAAUAUAAAAAUAAAUAUAAAUAAAAAUAGUGUGAGAUACUAUUUUUAUUGGAUUUAAGGGUGUAAAGUAUAAGUUGGAAAUGACCUGUGCUGAAAUCGGAGAGAAAACAGAAGAUUUAGAAUUUUCUGUGAGAGACGGGGCAGAUAAAUUAACAGAAAAUGCAGAGUGUCAGAAAAUUAUGAAAACUGGAGGAUAUGUCAGAAUUAUUUUUAUGAGGCUAGAUUUAAAGUUUCAAACCAUUCUGACGCCCGGAAAGGGGAAAAUAAAAUCCGACUACUAUCUGAUAAAGAUUACAAUUUGGUACAGCUUUCGGUGACCAAACAUAGUCGAAACUGAAAGAUUAAAAUUUCUUUGGACUUAUUAAGUAAAACCGAGCCUGCCUGUCAAAUUUGAGCGCAAACGGACGUUCAGAAGGGCUCCGGUGAAAAAUGUCAGUUUUAAACUGCUGAAGUGAAUAGUGUUUUGGGGGAGCUUACUUGUUGGUGAAGUUUCCUCCUAUAUAUAUAUAUAAAAGGGUGUUAUGUCAUUUCCCUCAUUCCUCUCUACUUGAGCCAACAUAAGAGAAAUCUCUCUCUCUCUCUCUCUCUAGGAUUGGCUCCAAAGUGUGGAGUUUGGUAGAGAAAAACUUACUUAGAGGUGAAGCUUUCUUUUUCUUUAUCAUUGGCUUGGAGAGCUUGGGUUUGAGAGGUAAGCUUUGAUAGCAACAAUGGUAGAUUGCUAAAUAGAUGGUUGAUGCUUUAUCAUUGGCUUGGAGAGCUUGGCUUUGAGAGGUAAGCUUUCUUUUUCUUUAUCAUUGGCUUGGAGAGCUUGGGUUUGAGAGGUAAGCUUUGAUAGCAACAAUGGUACAAAUAGGAGUUUCACUAAACCCAUUUGUAUGCCUUAGAAAUGGGUUUAGUGAAACUCCUAGAUGCUAAAUAGAUGGUUGAUGCUCGAAUUUAGAGAUCAAAUGAUGAAUUAUUGCAUAGUUGCAUCUUAGAACAUCAAAAGAGGGGUUUUGCUUGUGAGGGGUUUUGAUCUAAAUUGAUUAUGUAUAAACCUAAUUGCUAGGUUUUCUGACGCGUUGGCGAAGUCGGUUCGGCGAUACGACGAGGCUACGUGAAGAUAUUAAAGAACAAAGUCGUUAAGGUACAGAUUGCCGCAGCUCGUGGCGAAAGCUUCCAAAAAUCACGAAAUCGGAACCCUAGCCUCGUGAUAGCGAUAAAAGGUGGGGGGUGUCCAUCUCGAAGCAACUGGGCUUCCUUCUAUGUCCGAGUUAGAUUUUUGGUCAUAUUGCACAUAUUAUUCUUAUGCAUUAUAGGAUGUAUGUAUAAUUGCAUUUCUAUUUCCUUGCAUGCAUGUCUAGUUGUGUAGCAUUAUGGACUUGACACUUAAAUCUAGAAUGCAUGAGGAUUAGGGUUUGUGACAUGAGAUCCUAUAGUGAUAAGAAAACGGUGAACUCGGACUUGAUGAUGAAAACUGGUGACAUGCGAACUAGUGUAUAGAAAACACUAUGACUUGGACGAGUAGCAUGUAAACAAUGAUAACAACAUGACGAGUGGCAUUGGAACUUAGUGUAAUAGAAACACUUGUGACAUUGAGCAUAGGGAAUAGGUGAGUUUCCCUAGUCAUGGCAUAUUGCAUGAGAACUAGUGUAAUUGAGACACUAUGGCAUCAAACAUAGGGAUAGUUCAAUUCCCUAGUGUGAGUUGAUUAGUGUGGUUGAGACACUUGACAUGAACCUAGGGAUAGGUGGAUUUUCAAGUGUUUGUUAACCUAGUUGACAGGGUAUCCUCAGUUGGUGAGGAUUGGAUCAUACUCACAAGUCUGUUUUGAGCUUGUGGUGGUCGCUCCACACAAGCAGUGCACUCCGGAGUUGUCACACGAGCUGGGUAGCUCACGAGCGGGGUAGCUCACUGGGUGGGAUACGAGCGGGGUAGCUCCUCACCCAUUGCCGAAGUUGUCACACGAGCGGGGUAGCUCAUGAGCGGGGUAGCUCAUCGGGUGGGAUACGAGCGGGGUAGCUCCUCACCCAUUGGACUGGGACGUGAGUUGGGGCGAAGGGCGGGGUAGCUUUUCCCCUAUGAGAUUGAGCGGGGCAGCUCAAUAUCUAUGAGAUUAGAGCGGGGUAGCUCUUCAUCUAUUACCUUUGAGAUGUGAGACGGGUGAGAUAAGAGCGGGGUAGCUCCUCACCUAUGAGAUUUGAGAUAUCAGUCAGGGCGAAGAGCGGGGUAGCUCUUCACCUCUUCAUCUACUAGAUUGUGGUGAGUACCUAUGAGAUUUGAGAUCUUAGGCAGGGUAGCCUAGUGGAUUGGGUAAUGAUAUGAAUAGCAUAAGUGGAUUUGCAUUCAUCCUCUGAUUAGACAUAGUAUAUGUUAGUGGAUUGCAUAACUAUGUUGUAUUUGUUUUCAUUACAUUGUUGAAGCAUAUUAUCAUGAUAGUAGGCUUAUUGCUAGACGAUAUUUCAUGCAUUGCUUGCAUUUGAUGGCACAAUAGAUCAUAGUUGCAGUUCAAUAUCUAUCUAUCUAUUUGUGCCAGCUUAGACCUAGUGGGAAGAUCGGCGGAGUCGGCGGCCGAACCCACUGGGAACUAUAUUUAUAUAGUUCUCACCCCGUGUGGUUUUGGGGUACAGGUACACACGAGAGCGGACCGGCAAGGCAUCGCGGUAAGGGGGUAGCGCCUUAGCUAGCUAGUUGUGGCUUUCCUUUUGUACUAGAGUACCCUCGUGUACAUAGGUGACGUGGUUGUAUUUUGGAGCAGUACAUUGUACCUAGAUAUAUGUGAGAUGAUUAUGUAUUCAUUUUGGAAGCUUAAAUGUAAUCAAAGAUGUAAAAGUGGAAUGUGAUGUAAUAGCUAGAUGUACUCUUCUUUAUGCACUUGUAUGUAUACUUGUGUUACUUGCUCUUGUUGUAUUGCACUCUUUUGUGCUUCUCUCUCUUGUUGGAUCGUGUAUGUAUGAAUUAUCCCUGGGCAAAUUCUUUGUACAUAUCCUGUGUUGAGCCUUGGCGGACAGGGGAGGUGCUGUCCGUUCGGCGUCCGUCGGCGCGGCCCGAACCGGACCAAAUUGUAGCGGUCUCGGGGCAGGGCGUUGACAGGUAUGGUAUCAGAGCAAGUUAAGAGCAAGUAAAGAGAGAGAGUCUAGGAUUGACCUAGAGGACCUUAGGUUAGGAAAGUAAGGUUAUAGGUGGUGAGUAGAACGUGGCCCUAUACGGUGGCGGGAGUUGAUCGAUUGGGUCGAAGUGAUUGUAUGUCUCUAGUCGUGGCUAGAGAUGGAUUCAAGUGGUAUGAGUUCUUGGCUCGAAGUGGUAGUGUUGGGCGGCCGACAACAACGACGCGAGAGUCUAGAAUCAGUACACUUAUUGCUUCCGCCUAGUUUGCGACGUUGAGUCGCGUAGUUGUGAUCGCGAGCGAGUUGGUGGGUUAAGUUAAUUAACCCGGUUGUUGCGUUGCAGGAACUAAUGUCCCCAAGAUGCUACACGCGCAGAUCUAUUCCGGCACCGUCUUCGGAGGCGCCAGAGCAGGCUGGACCUCCCGAGGCGCCAGAGUUAGCUGGGCCUAGUGAGGUGCAGGAGUUACGGGCACAAGUGACCGCAUUGACCAAUGUGGUGCAGUGCCAGGAGACCCGAUUCGAGCGGCUCCAGGAGCUCUUGGAGCGGCAAAUGGCAACGGUGGCUGCGAUGGCGACUGGAGGUCGUGACCCGCCCGCACCCCCGGUGCACGCGCCUGUUGUGGCUGAGGGUGAUGGUGUAGUGCCUGUUGGAGCAGGUAGAGAGCUAGAUAGCACUAGCAAAAUACUGGUGAUGAUUGUUGGACGAGAAGUGAGACUCGUGGUAGGGCGAUCGGUUAGUGUUCGAGCAUGAGCACGUAGGCCUAGUAGUACCUCGAAGUGAGGUGGGUGAGUCGUGCUCGUGUGGCCGGUGCGCAUAGGCAGGGUUGCCUAAUGUCGGAAUUAGUGUACGACGCGUAGAGCGCUCGAAUAUAGGUACUCGUGAAGUACGAUGUUGACUCAGCCGGGAGAGUGUGUAGGCAGUAGCACUGUAGCAUUACUAAGUGUGAAGCGUGCCUGGGAUCACUCAUAGGGCUGAUGGCUCGCAUUAGGUGCUUAGGAGCCAAUAGUGAUAUGUGUUGCUCGGGUGAGCAUGUCGUGGGAGACAACGGUUGCGGGUAUAGCUUGAGGAUGAUCCAUGCCCGGACCAUUCGUGGACUAUGGAACCUGGGUCCCUAUGAACAGGCGCAGUCAGCUGUGGGUGGCAGCGGCCCGGGGUAGGGCAGAGAUUUGGUCAGGACGGUAGUCCGAGCUUAGACCCGAAAGCGUGGAAUGCCACGUGUUAGAUCGUGUAAUCAUGGAUGCACUAAGAGUGCAAUGGUGACCCAACCCGAGGAUUUAGAGUGGUUUGGGGUCUUGAUUGCUCCUGGUUGGAGUAUGUGCGAAUUCCCAAAUGAGAAGUUCGCCUGGUUAUGAUGGGGUCUGCGCUUGCGAGCGAGAGACGCUACGUGUUGAGAUAGGUUUAGGCGGUAGACCUGCGUAGAAUUGGUGAACUGUGGUUCGUCUAUGAGAUUGAGAUAAACGGUAGGCGAGUAGCCUUGUCGACGAGUUUAGGCUUGGAUUCACGAACAGGAGUUCGUGUGAGGUUAUAACAAGAGUGGUUCUUCCCACGGUGGUAAUGCACUUUUGGAGUUACACUUAGCAAAUGUGAGUGAAUUUGGUCUCACAUCCUCCGUAGUGGGCCUUGGAUGAUUUCAAUGAAUGAAAGCCCACUCUAAGAAGGAAAAGUGCAUUGGAAUCCCCGAUUGCUCGAUAAAUCGAGUUGGAAUGUGAUUGGGGUUGAAAUUUGGUUAGUUUCGAGGACGAAACUCUUUUUAAGAAGGAGAGGAUGUAAGGUACCGAACUUCUAAAAUUAUGAAGUUACGGCGGAUGUAGUAUGCUGGAUUUUUAAUAUAAAAAUAAAUAUAAAUAAAAAUAGUGUGAGAUACUAUUUUUAUUGGAUUUAAGGGUGUAAAGUAUAAGUUGGAAAUGACCUGUGCUGAAAUCGGGGCGAAAACAAAAGAUUUAGAAUUUUCUGUGACAGACGGGGCAGAUAAAUUAGCAGAAAAUGCAGAGUGUCAGAAAAUUAUGAAAACUGGAGGAUAUGUCAGAAUUAUUUUUAUAAGGCUAGAUUUAAAGUUUCAUACCAUUCUGACACCCGGAAAAUGGAAAAUAAAAUCCGACUGCUAUCUGAUAAAGAUUACAGUUCGGUACAGCUUUCGGUGACAAACAUAGUCGAAACUGAAAGAUUAAAAUUUACAGGUACACACGAGAGCGGACCGGCAGGUGAUCGCGGUAAGGGCGUAGCGCCCUAGCUAGCUAGUUGUGGCUUUCCUUUUGUACUAGAGUACCCUCGUGUACAUAGGUGACAUGGUUGUGUUUUGGAGAGUACAUUGUACCUAGAUGCAUGUGAGUGGAAUAUGUAUUCAUUUUGGGUGAUGAUGAAAAUGUAAAUGUAAUCAAAGAUGUAAAAGUGGAAUGUGAUGUAAUAGCUAGAUGUAUCUCUCUUUAUGCACUUGUAUGUAUACUUGUGUUACUUGCUCUUGUUGUAUUGCACUCUUUGUGCUUCUCUCCUUGUUGGAUCAUGUAUGUAUUGAAUUAUCCCUGGGCAAAUUCUUUGUACAUGAUCCUGUGUUGAGCCUUGGGCGGAUAGGGGAGGUGCUGUCCGUUCGGCGUCCGUCCGGCGCGCCUGAACCGGACCAAAUUGGUAGCGGUCUCGGGGCGGGGCGUGACAGGUAUGGUAUCAGAGCAAGUUAAGUGCAAGUAAAUAGAGAGAGUCUAGGAUUGACCUAGAGGACCUUAGGUUGGGAAACCGUAAGGUUAUAGGUGCGUGAGUGGAACGUGGACCUAUACGGUGGCGGGAGUUGAUCGAUUGGGUCGAAGUGAUUGUAUGUCUCUAGUCGUGGCUAGAGAUGGAUUCAAGUGGUAUGAGUUCUUGGCUCGAAGUGGUAGUGUUGGGCGGCCGACAACACGACGCCGAGAGUCUAGAAUUAGUACACUUACGUGCUUCCGCCUAGUUUGCGACGUUGAGUCGCGUAGUUGUGAUCGCGAGCGAGUUGGUGGGUUAAGUUAAUUAACCCGGUUGUUGCGUUGCAGGAACUAAUGUCCCCAAGACACUACACUCGCAGAUCUAUUCCGGCACCGUCUUCGGAGGCGCCAGAGCUUGCUGGACCUCCCGAGGUGCCAGAGUCAGCUGGGCCUAGUGAGGUGCAGGAGUUACGGGCGCAAGUGACCGCAUUGACCAAUGUGGUGCAGUGCCAGGAGACCUGAUUCGAGCGGCUCCAAGAGCUCUUGGAGCGGCAAAUGGCAGUGGUGGCUGCGAUGGCGACCGGAGGUUGUGACCCGCCCGCACCCCCGGUGCACGUGCCUGAUGUGGCUGAGGGUGAGGGUAUAGCGGCGAUUCCGGUGGCGGCACGUCCCUCGCCGGCAAUUGUUCCUCCGGCAGCGUCGGGAUCGGCGACACCCGAUGCGGCGGCCGAGGAGAUGGAGCGAGAGCGUUCGUUGACGGCUCUUAUCAGAUUCAAGAAGUUCAACCCACCAAUCUUUGAAGGGGAGAAAGUGGAGCCGUCGAUGGUGGAGUCAUGGAUUGACUCAAUGGAGAUACUUUUUUAGGAUCUCUAUACCUCGGAGAAAGACAGGGUGUAUCUCGCCACCCAUUGCCUUGGGAAAGCAGCGAAGGUGUGGUGGAAAUAGGUGAAGCGAGAUCGGCCUUCUGACCUUCCACAUAUGUUAUGGGAGGAGUUUAAGAGGGCGAUGUUCGCCAACUAUUUUUUCGACACGAUGAAGCGAAAACUGCAGGAGAAGUUUCGCAAGUUGAGGCAGGGGGAUCGCUCGGUAGCGGACUACGAGCAAGAGUUCUCCCACAUCAUAGAUUGUGUCCCGGAGGUUGUUCGAGAUGACCGGGACCGGGCCGACUGGUUCUUGCGAGGACUUCGGCCGGGGAUUUAUAAGGCCGUGCAAAUAUUCAAGCUCACUACCUUUGCUGAGGUUUUUGAUUGAGCAUUGUGGGCGGAGCAUGGCGAUGCCCACGUGCGAGAAGAACGAGAGGCGUCCGAGAAGGAUAAGGCGAAGAAACGGCCUGGCGGUAGCUCGGGGGGACAGUCAAGUUCUAAGAAGCCCCCGAAGUACCCGAGGAGGCAGUUUGAGAGCCAGGGACCUAUGCGAUGUGUGAUUUGCGGUGGGAGCAUCGCGUAGGAAACUGUGAGCAUAGGGCGGGACGAUGCUUCAGGUGUGGUCAGGCGGGGCAUAUUAGCCGUCAGUGCCUAGAAGGAUCGUCGCCUGCACCGUCUAUUGCAUCCGCCCCAGUGACUCCGGGGCAGUCGGGUGGAGUUCCGCCUGCUACAGUAUCGACGGGACGUGGGAUGGCGCCGCAACGGCUUGAGGCGACCCGGUCGGCUCCGAGUAGUCGAGUGUUUGCCGCUCAAGCGGAGCGACCUACUGGGGUAGAGGAGUGUGACACCAUGCCAGGUAUGAUUUAAUUAAAGUAAUCAUACGCUUCUGCAUGAUGUAGACUUAAGAAAUUACAUGCAUUUACCUUGUGGUCGUUCGCUACUAUUUGUGCAUUGGUAUUGUAGGGACCAAGUGAACGGGUUGGUGUAGAUUCCCGAGCAUGCUUAUGUGGUGAGAGUGUAGCGCCUGCUGGAGCAAGUAGAGAGCUAGAUAGCACUAGCAAAAUGCUGGUGAUGAUUGUUGGACGAAACGUGAGACUCGUGGUAGAGCGAUUGUUUAGUGUUCGAGCAUGAGCACGUGGGCCUAGUAGUACCUCGAAGUGAGGUGGGUGAGUCGUGCUCGUGUGGCCGGUGCGCAUAGGCAGGGUUGCCUAAUGUCGGAAUUAGUGUACGGCGCGUAGAGCGCUCGAGUAUAGGUACUCGUGAAGUACGGUGUUGACUCAGCCGGGAGAGUGUGUAGGCAGUAGCACUGUAGCAUUACUAAGUGUGAAGCGCGCCUGGGAUCACUCGUGGGGCUGAUGGCUCGCAUUAGGUGCUUAUGAGCCAAUAGUGAUAUAUGUUGCUCGGGUGAGCAUGUCGUGGGGGACGACGGUUGCGGGUAUAGCUUGAGGAUGAUCCGUGCCUGGACCAUUCGUGGACUGUGGAACCUGGGUCCCUAUGAACAGGCGCAGUCAGCUGUGGGUGGCAGCGGCCCGGGGUAGGGCAGAGAUUUGGUCAGGACGGUAGUCCGAGCUUAGACCCGAGAGCGUGGAAUGCCAUGUGUUAGAUCGUGUGAUCAUGGAUGCACUAAGAGUGCAAUGGUGACCCAACCCAAGGAUUUAGAGUGGUUUGGGGUCUUGAUUGCUCCUGAUUGGAGUGUGUGCGAAUUCCCAAGUGAGAAUUUUGCCUAGUUAUGAUUGGGUCUGCGCUUCCGAGCGAGAGACGCUACGUGUUGAGACGGGUUUAGGCAGUAGACCUGCGUAGGAUUGGUGAACUGUGGUUCGUCUAUGAGAUUGAGAUAAACAGUAGGCGAGUAGCCUUAUCGACGAGUUUAGGCUUGGAUUCACGAACAGGAGUUCGUGUGAGGUUAUUACAAGAGUGGUUCUUCCCAUGGUGGUAAUGCACUUUCGGAGUUACACCAAGCAAAUGUGAGUGAAUUUGGUCUCACAUCCUCCGUAGUGGGCCUUGGAUAAUUUCAAUGAAUGAAAGCCCACUUUAAAAAGGAAAAGUGCAUUGGACUCGAUAAAUCGAGUUGGAAUGUGAUUGGGGUUGAAAUUUGAUUAGUUUCGAGGACGAAACUCUUUUUAAGGAGGGGAGGAUGUAAGGUACUGAACUUCUGUUGUAAGGUACCGAACUUCUAAAAUUAUGCAGUUACGGUGGACGUAGUAUGCUGGAUUUUAAAUAUAAAAAUAAAUAUAAAUAAAAAUAGUGUGAAAUACUAUUUUAUUGGACUUAUAGACAUAAAAUAUAAGUUUGGAAUGACCCGUGUUGAAAUCGGAGCAAAAACAGAAGAUUUAGAAUUUUCUGUGUGAAACGGGGCAGAUAAAUUAGCAGAAAAUGCAUAGUGUCAGAAAUUCUGAAAACUGGAGGAUAAGCCAGAAUUAUUCUUAUGAGGCUAGAUUUAAAGUUUCAUAUCAUUCUGACACCCGGAAGGCGGAAAAUAAAAUCCGAUAGUGAUCUGAUAAUGAUUACAGUUCGGUACGACUUUCGAUGACCAAACGGGGUCGAAACGGAAAGAUAGAAAUUUUUUUCGUUAAGUUAAGUAAAACCGAACAUGACUGUCAAAUUUGAGCUCAAACGGAUAUUCAGAGGGCUCCGGCGAAAGAUAUCAGAUUUCGAACUGCCUGAAGUGAAUAGUGUAUGCUACUAUUGGGGUGUUGACCAUAAGUAGAAGCUUCUAGUGACUUGGCUUCUUCGUCACAGCCGAGCACCACCCCCACAAGCACAUGUUCAUGGUGGUAGUGAGAGAAAUCCUCACUUUCUCUCUCUAAAUAACUCUUUCAUCUCUCUAGAUAUUUCGCCCAAAUUCGCGGCGUUGGCGGAGAACGAGCUUGCGAACGCGUUGGGAGCGACGUAUCGAGCUUUCGUGCGCCCGUUGGAGCGGCGUGCUUCCGUCUCGGCGUUCACAUUUUGGUAAACUUUUGGGAUUUGNUCAAAGAUGUAAAAGUGGAAUGUGAUGUAAUAGCCAGAUGUAUCUCUCUUUAUGCACUUGUAUGUAUACUUGUGUUACUUGCUCUUGUUGUAUUGCACUCUUUGUGCUUCUCUUCUUGUUGGAUCGUGUAUGUAUUGAAUUAUCCCUGGGCAAAUUCUUUGUACAUGAUCCUGUGUUGAGCCUUGGGCGGACAGGAGAGCUGCUGUCCGUUCGGCGCGCCCGAACCGGACCAAAUUGGUAGCGGUCUUGGGGCGGGGCGUGGCAGAAAUAUUAAGGAUCCAAAUCCAAAAAUAAAGAACAAUAAAGCACUUCUAAGUUUCUUUAAUGACAAAGAUCAUGAUCACAAUCAAUAGAGAUGUGCAUUUGCAUCCAUCAAGAUUAGCCGUAUCUCUAGUUUCGGAUUCGUGUUUGGCAAAUAAACGCUAGAAAAACUAUUUCGCACCACACCAGUAUGAUAUGGGCAACACUGGACCGAACAUUUCUGCACUAUGUUGGUAUGGCAGGGGUACAUCUUAUUCCUUUCAAGACAGCCGCAGCAGUGUCGCACUGCCGCAUGUUACAUGGCACCGUGAGGGCUUUUUUUUUGCUUCAUUUGUUCCUUCUUCUUCUAUUCUUUUCCCACUUCUCACAGCAGUCUCUAUGUUCUCUUGUUUAUGCUCCCUUGUCCAAAAAUGAAAAGAGGUUUCCUCUUCUCAUGUGAGUCGUGAAGACUCAAAAUAUAUGCAUUGGGCAAAGUAGACAUCCAUAUUCUUAUUUAGAUAUAGGAGAAAUCUAGUAUAGCCUAGGAGAGUUUUACAACACCUACGGGUUCCAUGGAAAAUUCAAGCUCUUCCUUCGAAAAUCAUGUUUUUAAGGUUAUUUUCAGAUUUUCUCUACAUUUUUUGAAAUUUUGAGAAGAAAUAUGAAAAUUGGAAGCAAUUGAUGACCAGAACAACUUGAUCUGCUCCUCAUAUAGUACCUCCAUUAAGUAAGCAUGAAAUUUAUCAUUAAACCUUAAGGAAAUAAUGACUUCUCCCAAUUUUUUCUCUGUUUUCUGUGAACCCCAAAAAAGGUCAAAAAUCAAAGUAAUUUAUCUGUUGAUCCAUUUCUACUCAGCAUAUGGUCAGUCUAUAUAUUUCCAUGAAGUCGUCUUGUUAUCUUUCAUGCAAAAUCUAAGAAAUAAUGAUUUUUUUUCCCUUAAGUCCUUCCUUAUGUUUUAUGCAAACCCGAAAAUAGAAUUUAAAAGCUCAACGUAAUUGAUGUGCAAAUCAGCCAGAUCUGCUCAGCAGUCAGCAUAUGGUCCCUGCAGAAAUUUCCAUGGAGGGAUCAUGUUAUUGUCUUUGUGAAUUUAAGAAAUAGUGUGUGGUGUUAGAUCCAUAACUUCUUUCGCAUAAGGGAAAUUGUGUUUAAAUGAAGAAUAAAGUUCGUAUCUCUACUGGUAGAUUAAAAAAAGAGACUUAAAAAUCAUGUUUAGCACCAAAUAAGCCUUGAAACCAACAACUGAAGAUAUUACUUGGAUGAAGAAAACCAAGAAAAGACUGUCAGAGACUGGCCGUACAUGCCAGUCAAAAGCCCUCACACUUGUCAGUCCAUCACUGUGCCGACAUUCGAGACAACACUAUGCCCCUGCCAUACCAGGCCAGCUAGGGGCUAGACAACCAUCAUGCCUCAGCACCACUUCAUGCAUCGUCAUCACAAUCCUUAAGUAAAAAUAAAUCUUUCUUUAUUAAGCAAUUUAACCUGUCUGUAUGAUGCAAGGUGAUAUUCUUUCAUCUACACCAGUGAACAUCUGUAUACUGAUGAUACCACACAAAUGACUGCAUUUAUUUCCAGCCAUUAUUUGCAAAUUCACCAAACGAAGAAUUAACAAAUAAAGAUGUCGCGGUCCCUAGCUAGGCUAGCUUGGAGAUUCUGCUAGGUGGUCACCUCUCAUUUUGUUUUAAUUGGAGAGAUGUUUAGCCCUUGAUGUAUAGAGACCACUAUUUUUGUAUUUAGCUUUUAUUUAUGUGGAUUCCUUGAUGUAUGUACUUGCAGGAUUAUAGUUGUUUACUUUCCUAUUUGUCUUUAGAGAGUAGUUAUGUUCAUGCUUUAAUAUCCUGAUAGAUGUUGUUAUAUUCCUGUAUGAUUUCUAUCUUAUCAUUGUAGAUGCCUUAUAUGUUCUUGGCAUAUGGCAGGUCUGAGCAUGCACUGGACAGGCUUCCGCUAGGGCCCGGGCGACGAUUAGUACUCCCAGUUACAUCACAUCACAAAUUAGAUGCGUCCCUGCUGUGUCCAUACAUGCUUACUUCUAGAACGAUUUUUGACAUUGAAUCAGAUUAAGACCAGAUGCAGCUGAUAAACCAGCAGUAGUUAUAGAAACAAUGACAGCAUGAACACAAAAGCUUAUAUUAUUAGACAACAACAUAUUGAGAAGGAAUUGGUACUAAACUAUGCUACAGGCAUCCAGAUGCAGCAGAUAAACCAACAGUAGUAGAAGAAACAUUGACUGGAUGGACACGAAAGCUUAUAUUCUUAGACAACCAUAUCAACAAGGAAUUGAUACUAAACUAUGCUACAGGUGUAAGUGUGUGUGUUUAUGGCGGUUUAUUAGGAAAUAAUUACAAGACGAAGAUAAGCAUGUCUAAGCAGUCAGUUGCAUGAUACACUAGGUUGCACUUUUUUCCAACUUUCAGCUACAACUCAAAACUUAGAAGAAAAGAAAAGAAAAGAAAAACAUAAGAUAAAUUGUUUAUUAUAAUAGAAGGAACAUGUGAAUUCUGUCAAUUAGUUACUCUAACGCAAUUAUAAUUUUAGAAGAAGAUAAAUGAAAUAAACAAAGUGCAAUAAAUUAAAAGAAAGGUCAUUAUACUUGAGGAAGUCGAACAACUUCUGCUGUAGUUUGUUAAGAGCCUCCUCCUCCAUGUUGACAUAAGCAAGUAACUCAGGCAGCUUGACUACAAACAGCAAAUAAAACAUUGUAGAACAUCAUGACAAAAAUAAUGUGGAGCCAAAACAUCAUAAUAUGAUAAGUUAGGCCGAGAAAAAGAACAAACUAAUAGCAUAAUUGAUGAGCUAUAUAGACAAUCUUAAUUUCAUAAACCAAGAACAACUUGUUGGCCUAGUGGCCCUAAUCAACCAUUAGAUUUUGAUGAUAACAAAUAAUUGUGACUAUUGGACUAAUCCUUUAUCUUGAGUUUUUAUGUUUAGAUUCUCCUAUCUUUGGAAAGGACUCAAGAUGGGCAAAAUUCGAGCACUAAACUUCACCGCUUGAAGCUAUCCUCGCUGCUUAGGUCAAAAAGACCAAUUCUCUCUCUCUGUCUCUAUAUUUUAAUUUGUUUACAUUCACUUUAGAUUAGAGUUGAGAGUUAUUGAGCUAAAAUUGAACUAUUUUUAUCGACUUAUAGCACAUUUGAACAAAAUUUAUUCUUGAUCAAGCUUGUGCUAAGUUAACAUUGCCCAAAACUCUAUUUAUAAAUAAAUAUCCAUGGCACUUCAAAAAAUACUCAAAAUCUACUCAAAAUCAAAUUUCUGUCAGAUUUCAAGUUUUGGGCUCAGAUCCGGGCACCCAAAAGUGGAUUCGAAUCUGCCUUUCUUUCUAAUUGUAAAUGUCUGGGUGUCCAGAUUGCCACAGUAGCAUCCGAAACUGAAUCUAGGCGCCCGAAAGAUGUUUUGGGCGCUUAAAAAGAAUGAAAAUUUGAUUUUGGACAGGUUGCGUGUUUCGGACGGUGCUGCUCCGAAUUCAUUAUUUCUGCGGUUCUAGGCACCCGAAUCAAGUACCGGGCGCACGAACAGUACUUUGUCUAUUUUCUAUAGAGCAUGCGCCGACCCGAUAAAGCUUUUGACAGCGCCGCUGUGAGAGCAGCACGCGUGCACCGGAGAAGUGGGUGCCCGAAGUACUUCUAGGCGCCAGAAAGUACUGCCCAAAAAAUCGGCGCACGUGGGCUGACAGGUUUCAGAAAAUUCAGCACGCAUUACUUCUGGGCACCCAAAUCCAGCUCUGGGCGCCUGAAAAUCCUGUUUCCAGCAAAUAGGGUGCGCUAUAAAUAGAGGGCUUUGUUGAUCCAUCUAUUGAUCUUUUGAACUUGUAAAUUUUAUGUGUUUAAUACUCUUAGCACUCUACUCUCUCACUAUGUUUGAGUGAAAUUUGUAGUGAGAUAUAAUAUUGUAAAAGAGAAAAAAAAGUGUAGAAAGUGUAAUCUUCUUGAGAGAAGUUCUUGGUGUAACAGCUUGGCGCUUGCCCAGAAAAAGCAGGAUUUAUCGAUUGCCAUUUCGAUCCUCACAUCUUACUAGAAUCUAGCUAGGUCAUAAAUUAUUUGGAGCUACAUGUUCAUGUCCACCACUUGAAUAGUUAAUGCCUUUCUGAAGUUAACAUUUGCUAGGCACUUAAACAUUUUUUUGGUCUCCACUAAACCAAAAUAAAUACGUAUGCAAGUCCCCAUUCUUUCCCUAUAUUCUUGUUAUGGAAAGUCAAAAUUGUAUAUAUUAUGUUCCUAUUUAGCUAGCAUAGUUUAAGACAUCUUUCUUUAGAGAUCUUUCCUUAUUAAAUAUCUUAUUAUAGAAAUAUUUAUGUAUAUAUAUCUUUGUAAUUCAUUAUUGAAUGAACAAGAAGAAUUUGUAUUCUAUUCUCUUUGUAUUCUCUUCUUCAUGGUAUCAGAGCAAAACCCUAAUUCUAGGGUAUAGCGAUCCAGUGCUGUCUUUCUCCCUCACCGGAUCUCAUCGACGCUACAGUACCGCUACAGUACCACUACAGUGCGCUACAGUAUUGGUGCUAUUGCUGCAGUCUAAGGUUCGUGCAUCUGGUUCCUAUUUUUUGAUCCUUUGGUGACAUACCUAGGGUUGUUUUAUUUGCCUCGCAUCGAGGUGUAGAGUGCAGCCCUGAGAGCUGCUUUGUGACUUGGUCUCGUUGUCCAAGACGCCAUAUCUGAAACUGUGUCUGCUAAGAGUGAGCCAAAAUCUGUGAUUGUCGAUGUGAUCCCAGUAAUGACCAAAAUCACAGAACACAAACUCACCGGCUCCAAUUAUCUGGAAUGUAGCAAGACGAUUCGUGUUUAUCUACGAAGCAUUGAUAAGGAUGAUCACCUAACUAGCGAUCCACCGGACGAUAUACAAAGCAAGCUUGGUUGAGGGAAGAUGCUCGGUUGUUCUUACAACUCAGGAACUCUAUUCAAAGUGAGGUAAUUAGUCUAAUUAAUCAUUGUGAGUUUGUGAAAGAAUUAAUUGAUUAUUUAGAUUUUUUAUACUCUGGCAAAGGGAACCUCUCCCGCAUAUAUGAUGUUUGUAAGGCAUUUUACCGAUCUGAGAAGCAGGAUAGGUUUCUCACAGCGUAUUUUAUGGACUUUAAACGUGUUUAUGAAGAGCUUAAUGUUUUAUUACCCUUUAGUCCUGAUGUAAAAGUGCAGCAGGUUCAACGCGAGCAAAUGGCGGUUAUGAGUUUUCUUGCCGGUUUACCCCCAGAAUUUGAGACAGCUAAAUCUCAAAUUCUUUCUAGCUCUGAGAUUUCCUCUUUACAUGAUACUUUCACGCGAGUAUUUCGUACGGAGACUCCUCAAUUUUCUCAAUCUACUAAUAGCGCGCUUGUGAGUCGCAAUGAUAAUAGACGGCAUAAUAGUAGAGGGGGCAAUAGAGGGAUUAUUGCCAAUAAAGGUAAUCACUGUCAUGGAGAGACUACCUCUAAUCGAGAUUUUGGAGUUGUUUGCUAUUACUGUCAUGAACCUGGUCAUACAAAGAGCACAUGUUUGAAACUUCAAAAUAAGAACCAACGAUCUCAGAUGGCCAACAUGGCAGCCGGGGAGUAUACAACCCCAUUCUCAGAGAAAACUGUUUUGGUGUCUGCUUUAGAAUUUGCACAGUUCUCCCAAUAUCAGGCAUCCUUAAAGUCCACCAAUUCCCCUGUCACUGCACUCGCCGAGUCAGGUAAAUCCACAUCAUGCCUUGUGUCUUCGCAUUCCAAAUGGGUCAUUGAUUCUGGUGUUACAGACUAUAUGACAGGUAACUCUAGUCUUUUAUCUGCCUUUCAGUCUCAUAUAACAUCUUCUACUGUUACUUUAGCUGAUGGAUCUACCUCUUGUGUCAUGGGUUCUGGCAUUACAAACCCAACGUCAUCAAUUUCUUUGUCAUCUGUUUUAUGUUUACCCCAGUUUUCUUUCAAUUUACUAUCUGUUAGUAAACUCACUCGAGCUUUGAAUUGUUGUGUCUCAUUUUUUUUCCGAUCAUUGUUUGUUUCAGGAUCUUACGACGACGCAGAUUAUUGGUAGAGGACAUGAGUCUAGAGGUCUCUAUAUCCUUGACAACAAGGUGUCGAGGUCUCUUGCCUGCUCCAGUAAUUUAACUCCUUUUGAAGUCCAGUGUCGGUUGGGACAUACUUCAUUAUCCACCCUAAAGAAAUUGUUUCCGCAGUUUCAAUCUUUGUCCAGUCUAGAGUGUGAGUCAUGUUAGUUUGCUAAGCAUUAUCGUUUACCUUCUGUGUCUAGAGUCAAUAAACGGGCAUCGUCCCCUUUUGAGUUAGCUCAUUCUGAUAUUUGGGAUACGUGUCCUAUUGUUUCCAAAUCAGGAUUUUAAGUAUUUCGUUACCUUUGUGGAUGAUUAUUCUCGUGUUACUUGGUUAUAUUUAAUGAAAAAUCGUUCAGAACUAUUCUCAAUUUUUUGUGCCUUUUGUACUGAAAUCAAAACACAAUUUAAUGUUUCUGUGCGUAUAUUGCGAAGUGACAAUGCCAAAGAAUACUUUUCAGAAAAUUUUCACAGUUAUAUGACAUAGAAUGGCAUCCUUCAUCAAUCCUCAUGUGUUGACACUCCAUCCCAAAAUGGAGCUGCUGAAAGAAGAAACCGGCAUCUCCUUGAGGUAGCUCGUACCCUUCUUUUUCAAAUCAAAGUUCCUAAACAUUUUUGGGCUGAUGCAGUUUCCACGGCUUGUUUUCUGAUUAAUGGCAUGCCUUCGUCUGUCUUGGAUGAUGAUAUUCCUUAUACUGUUUUGUUUCCAUCUAAUCUUUAUUUCCUAUUGAACCUUGUCUUUUUGGUAGUACGUGUUUUGUGCGAGAUGUUCGUCCACAGCAAGGUUUUAAGUGCCCGUCGGCACGGUCCGUAUCCACCGUGCCGUACCGUGCCAACAAGAUACCGGCACGAUACAGACCUCGUGCCGAUGGCACAAUUCAAAACCCUCUAUUUAUUAAAUUAGUACGUAAUUUCCUCAAUAUAGCUCAAAAGAUGUGAUAAAAAGACAUAACAAAUAGUUAAAAUAUUUUGUUGCUAAAGAAAAUAAAUAUUUCAUACUAUUAUGUGUCGGCACAUAAGAAUUUUUUUGACCUGCAUGCAUCAGCACGGCUCGGCACGCACCGUGUCGUACCGUGCCGGCAAGUUUCCAGCACGACCCCGUGCCACGUGUCACGGACAAAAUAUUUUCUGCUGAUUUCUCCUUGACAGUGGCCCAAAUCUGCUAGCGAAACGGGUUGAAAAUGGAUUGAAUCAGGUUGUCAAUACCCAAACCCAACCUGCUGUGGGAAACUCAAGGGUUAUGAAACUCUCAUGAGUUAUGGGGUGACUCUUAGGCUUUUGGCUCAUUAUGAGGAUGAGUUAAUGUGUCUCAUAAUGAGAGAGUUAGUGUGUGUCCAGGUUCAUUGUAACUAGGAGCUUAUAAGUAGUGGGGUUUGGUUAAGGCCAAAACACACAAGAGAGUGUGUGUAUGUGAGUUGUAAUUCUCAUUUUCUAAGUAGUGUAGUACUUAGUUUUUUGAGUGAACUUUUGCCUCUCUCUCUUUGUCAUUCCCUUUGCAUACUUAGUCGUAGGACGCGAAGGUCUGGACUAGCAAUAGGGACGAAGGCUUGUCCAUCUUCGAGCAGCAAGGCGGGCGCCGCACGAACUUUGCGAACAGAACCGCUAAGGCCGUGACACACGGCACUUAAAUCCUUGGUCCACAGGUAACUAAAUUGGAUCCAAAGUCUCUUAAGUGCGUCUUUCUUGGGUACUCUCAUCUGCAAAAGAGGUAUCGAUGCUUUUCUCCUACUCUCGAUCGAUAUAUUGUGUCUGCCGAUGUUACAUUUUUUGAAUCUACUCCAUUCUUCCCUCUCUCAUCUACUUAUGAAAAUGAUGGGGAGGAAGAUGAUCUCCUUGUUUAUACUGUCAAUUCCUGCUCCAUCGGCAACUGUUCGACCCCCUAUUGUUCAUGUCUAUUCUAGGAGAUUAGCGACUCCUGACUCAGAUCCUCCGCCAGCUUCUUCGUCGGAAGAUCCAGUUACUACUAUCACCGACCUUGCCUCUGAUUCUGAUCUUCCGAUUGCUCUUCGCAAAGGCAAACGUAAGUGUACCUACCCUAUUUCAUCGUUCGUUUGUUAUGACCGUUUGUCAUUCUCUUCUCGUUACUCCAUUACCUCUCUAGAGUCGGUUUCUGUUCCUAAAUCUGUUGUGGAAGCUUUGUCUCAUCCUGGCUGGCGUGCUGUAAUGGAAAAGGAAAUGAUGGCUUUAGACGCCAAUGGUACUUGGGAACUGGUACCCUUACCUGCCGAUAAGCGAGCUAUUGGUUGCAAAUGGGUAUUCACUGUGAAAAUGAAUCCAGAUGGUUCUGUAGCUCGCCUAAAAGCCCGCCUUAUUGCCAAAGGCUAUGCUCAGACUUAUGGGGUUGAUUAUUCUGACACUUUCUCUUGUAGCUAAACUUGCUUCUAUUCGCUUAUUUAUUUCGUUGGCGGCCACAUCUCAUUGGGUUUUACACCAGCUGGACAUUAAAAAUGCUUUUCUCCACGGUGAUCUUCAAGAAGAGGUAUAUAUAGAGCAACCACCUGGUUUUGUUGCUCAGGGGGAGUUGGGUCGAGUGUGUAGACUUCGGAAGUCUUUAUAUGGCUUGAAGCAAAGUCCUCGAGCUUGGUUUGGCAGAUUCAGUGAAGUAGUUCAGGAGUUUGGCAUGAAGAAAAGUAAGUGUGAUCAUUCUGUGUUUUAUAGACAUUCUGAGACUGGUCUAAUUCUAUUAGUAGUGUAUGUGGAUGAUAUUGUCAUCACUGGGAAUGACACUGCAGGAAUCUCAUCUCUCAAGUUGUUUCUUCAAACCCAAUUUCAGACAAAGGACUUGGGAGUGUUUAAGUACUUUUUGGGUAAUUGUCACAUCAACUGUCUUAGAAAAUUAUUUGGAUUUUGAGGACAGAAGUUUUAUUAAUAUAAAAUAUGAAUUGUCUUAUUCGUAAAAUUUCUUAUUUAGCAUGAUAGUGGAAAUAUCAAGGAUGAAAAUUUUGUUACAAGGGAAGAAUGUACUACCCCAUUUUUUUUUUUAUUUGAUCGAGGAUUCUUUUGCUCAAGUUAAAAAAUCUAGGGGUUCAUGUGCAAUUAUGCAACCCUAAUUAAUAAAAAAGACUCCUAAUCUCUCUUUUUCUCCCCAACCGAUCGUUCUUUCUUUUUGUCUCAUUCAACCUCAUCCGUAUGUGCCUUUCGCACGUGCGCGAUCUCUCUCUCUUUCUUGCACAAUCCUCGAUCUCGUCUUUCGACACUGCCGCCGCUGCCACUUCAUCGGCAUCUUUUUGUUCAUGGCCAGCAUCAUUGGAUAGUUAAAGGCAUCUCGUUUGUAGUCAUCUCAUUCAUCGUCAUCAAAAAGGUUCCUUUGAUUAAUUUGAUGCACUAUAUUUGACGAAACAAUACUCAAAUUAUUUAGAGGUAAGCGACCUAACACCUAUUAAUUUAUUCUUGAUAAAACUUGUAGAAAUAUGUUACGAUAACGAAAAUCCCUUACUAUAUGGUUUUUCAAAACAAGGGUUAAGCGUGCUGAUAUAAAUUACAAAUCGCUGGAAGAAAAAGAUUUCUAAAAAGUUCUAAUUUGACUCUUGUGCAGUUUUUAGAAAAAUAUGUGCUUUAGAAAUUGUGCUUAUUUGAUAAAACUUCAGAAUUUAAUAAUUUGUUUCCUUCAUAAUUUUUGACUCGGUAAAAAAUUUUGAAGUCAUGAUGUCCCUAGAUAUAUUGCUAUAAUGAUGUUGGCCAUAUCGGCAUGAAUCUUGUGUUUGAAGCUAGCUUUGAUUUUGUGAUGCAUCUAUGAGUGCUACUUUGUGACGCACCUUCAGGUGCAAUUUUAUGACACGUCUUCGGCUGCAAUUUUGUGAUAUGCCUUUAGGUGCAAUUUUGUGAUGCGCUUCCUAGUGCUAUUUAGAUUCAUAUUUGGGUGCUUUCUCUUUGUCAUCGUGCCUUCAAUGUCUCUAAUGUGCAUUUAGGACCUAAGCCAACAAUCGCUAGUUAUCAAAGAGUUUCGUUUUAAAUUCUAAUUUUCAAAAUAAGAACACUUAGUUAAUUCUAUUUUUCUUAGUCUUUGUAAAACAUGCUUGUUUAAGACUCAAAAUUCUGAAACUUGAUUUGUAAAAGUUUGUGAAACUCCAAUGUUGUAUUGGACACGUAUCGGGUGCGUAUCGAGCACGUCUCCAUAUUCGAACUAUAUUUGACAUGCAUACGUCAUGUAAAUUGAAGUAUCCAUGUUUCAUAUAUGUCUAGAUUGGCACACCAUACUCGACCUUCAUGUCAUAUUUUCAGAAUAAGAUAAAUCACCUCUUAGGUGAAGUAUGCUAUCCUACCAAAUUAUGGAUGCCAAGUCUUUUCAAUAAGCAAAAAUCAAACUCCUAACUUCCAAUUACAAAAGAAAAUUCUUAUACCAAACAAGUUAUCAUCAGAGAACUUAUUCUGAUGCCCGAUUCUUAAUAGGCCCUAGAUGUUAGAAUAAGUUACUCAAUGAUAACCUAUUGGAUAUAAGGAUUUUCUUGUGUGAUUGCAAGCGAAGAGUUUGAUUUUUUACUCUGCAAAACUUUGGCAUCCAUGAUUUGAUAGAAUACCAUAUUUUAUCUAUGAGGUAAUUUAUCUUUUUCCUAGAGAUUUGGUACUCCGUUCUAAACAUUUGAUCAUACUUCUCAUCCACCAAAUACUAUAAGGUUUUUGAGGUAAUCAAAAGAAUAUACCAAACAAGAUGUUGAUGCAUGCAAAUAGGGCCUACUGAAAAUGAUAUAGCGAAUAGGAUGUUCAUGCAUCCAAACAAGGCCAAGUGAAUGUUGUUAAGAAAUAUCCAGUUCUUCACUUUCUCUAACAAAAUAACUCAUUAUCACUAGAUGGGAUAUAAAUGAAAAUUCAGAGAAACAUACAAAGAGAAAGUUUAGAAUGUACAAGCUAAGAGCUCAACAAUUUGGUUCACUUUGGUCUGCUUUUUGCUUGUCAGUGAUUUGAUUUUAGUUUAAGCUGCCACCUGACCUAUCUCGUGGUGAAUGUGCUGCAAAAGAACUGCCCACAAGAGAGGCAAACUCUAAUUUAGUUUAAGUGAUCUGCAUUUUGAGGGAAAUUACACUUCCUUUGAUGAUCCGUGAAGUUACUUGACACGUUUCCUAUAUUAUUUCCUUAACAACACUGUCUAAUUUGAGGAAUAGACAGUUUUAAUUGCACAAGAGUAUUACAAUUUACAAAUCAUGGGUAAGCGGAAUAGAGAAGAGUAAAGAAUUAAAUUCUAGGCAAACAAGAGAAGCUAGACAGAAAUAUGCAUACCGAAAAGACGUAAUAGAUGUUCAGCACCGUAUACAGUUGAAGGUGAGGCAUUAUCUCGAACUGCUUCGCGGUAUUGUUGCCGCUCCUUUUUAUAGAGAAGCAUCACAGGCAAUGCCUUGUCAAAAUAGCAUCUUAGACCUUUAAGAAUUUCCGCGACAGAUUCAGCAAUCCUUCACUCACAGAAAACACAAAUGUGCUAUAUCACCAAUGAAGCUCAUUAGAUCCGAACACACUAAACAGGCUAGCAAACCUAAAACAUAAAAAAUGUUAUAAUGCUCAUAAAAAAUGUUAUAAUGCUCACAAUAGAUUCACCAGCUCUAACCUACAAAUCCAACUCACCUUUUUCCAGUUGGUUUGGUAAAUUUUUGGAACAUAUCUAACACUGUUUUAGUCCUCGACUUUUAAAGUUUUAUUCGCAUUGAUAAAUCCUCAACUACAUGUCCUUCGACCAAAUAAAUUUUAAAAUUUGUGAAGCUAGUCUUAGAAGCUUUUCUAUCCCUUGCAUUACUAGUAGAUUCAUAGCCUCUAAAUUUUUGGGUAAUCACAUUCCUAAUUGUUCUUCUAGUUGCUCACUGAGCACCCAGUCACAAUAUGACAACCUAUCAAGAGAUAACACUAAUAUACAGUAUAAACUUCACUGAACCAAGCAAGCAAGCACAACAGCAUGGCAACAUAUUGCUGAUCUCUAACGAACAAGGCCAAUGAGCUUCCUACCUCCAAUCACAAAAGGCAUGAUAAACAAGAGAACAAGGCCAAUCAGCUUCCUACCUUCGGAUCAUCCCUGCUCCAGCCCUAGCCCGAGCUCGAAUUCCAUUGGCAGUGCCUUCCUAUUCCAGCCAUCCGGGUGGCCGCUAAUCUUCUGAAAGGUGAGCACGGGUAUUCUGGGGUGUCAUAGACCUCUGUUGCUCACCUUAAUUGGGUUCUACAAGGCUCUGAUUGUCUAAUUCGGAGAUGUCUCUACCGAUGACUUCUGGAACUAGGGUUCAAGUAGAGCCCCGGUGCGCUCCUCGGCCUCUAUUCGUGCUCCAAACAGCGAGCAUGGGCUUCGGCCCGUCGAGAACUAUCAGAGGGCAUUGCUGGUUGGUCUUGGAACCUUGCGGUGUUCGGUAAAGCAUCAUCUUUAUUGUUUUUAUAUUCAUAGUUGUUGUUAUUGGAUAGUGUAGGGGCUUUUAUGAAAAUUGGACAAUUCGGAUUGCCUCGGGCAGUAUGAGAUCGCUAUUUGUGAUCCCUGGGUGUCCAAGGUCCCAUGGCCUUCGCGAAGUCCAAUUCUAGUCUCGUUGCAUUUUUCGGCAAAAUCGCUGGCGGAACAUGACGGUUGAUGUGGGGUACACUUUUUAUUGAUGUGUAUGCCCUAGGUUUGUCGACGAGCCUUGUCAUCUGGCUGCUCUCGUUGCCUCAGGUAUUCCAAGACAACAAGUGAGCGGCGGAGGGUUUCGAUGCCGAAAACAGCAUUUCCAGAGACCCGAAACGGCAUUUUGUAUGUUAUUGUAUUUAUAUCUCACUUCAGCAUAUGUUUGUUAUCCGAACACCUAAAUUGGUGUGUUUUGGGACAACAGGUGACUUAAGGUGUACAUCAGUACAUUCCAAGGUAUUUUAAUGGGUACGGGAGUGUUCCGAGAGACUUUCCGAAAAUUCUGGUGGUUCCAAAGUUGUGUUUGGUAUUUUGAGCCAACUAGGUUGGACCUUAACUGGGUGAGUCUUUCGUAGGUCCGGUCGACAUCCAGCACGCCUUGGGUGUUAGGUGUUGUGGCAGUUUCAGAUGUGUGCUUCGAUCCGAAGUCGGUGCAGUGAUGUUAGCUCGGUGAUGUUCUUCCCUCACUGCAUUUCAUUGUUUUCACACAUUAUUUGGUAAGCACUACACCACUAGACUUCCAUUUAUGUUGCACUACUUCUGCUCUCUCAUGAUUUAGUAGUAGAAUGGUGCCUAACAAUAUUUUUCGCAUGACCUCUAUCUGUGGGACCUGAUUGAUCCGUGACUAUUGAGUUUGGUGAUACAUAGAGGAUAUGAUUUUGGACAGAUAUCUAUUGUUGGCUUAUUCUCGGCUAUUCGCCGCCUCGUUGACUAUUGAACAUUUUGUAUCUAUUGUCACAGCUCAUGUAGUAGCAUGCCACAUAUACCAGCAGUUUGGCCAUCACAACGGUGUUCUUUUCCAAGAAAGUGGUCGUUUAUCCGACCUUGAACCCUUUGUAAGGUACUAGUUAGGGUUAUGUGCCGGUAGGUGAGCAUAUUGUGGCAUUGCCUGAGGUCUUUAGACCAAUGUGGUGAGGUGUACGAGUAUCUGUCUUUCAUUACGGUUAAUGCAUAUAUACAAUGUUGUUGCUUUACAGUAGCGGUAGGUGCUUACUAUUGUUUAUAUUUAUUGUUCUUCACUUGCUAUUGUGCUUGUAUAUCUAUCUCUCAUUUUUAGUUAUAUUCUACUUGGCAAUGUGUACACUCGCCCCCGUCGGCUUGCGAUACCUAUUGGAAGACCCCUUGUAGGUUUAUCACUUCCCUCCAUUUUGGUGGAUCUUGGUGGUGAGACUCGGGACGAUGCAUGAGGCACGGUAGCUAAUGAGCCUAGAGGUCCAGAUCAUAUGUCACUAGAUUCGAUUACUCUAAUCCUUACCCUAUUCUCUUAUUUGAUAAUAAGUUAGACUGUCGUGGUUCAGUUAUCUGAUUUUCUGAAUGAUUUAGUUAUGAUUGUUUAUAUUAUCUAUCAUACGUUGACCAGUGAGUAUAGCUUGCCUUUGACGGCUUACAACACCUACUAGAAAAAAUGUAUACAUUCACUGAACCAAGCAAGCAAGCACAACAGCAUGGCACCAUAUUUCUAGAUCUCUAACGAACAAGGCCAAUGAGCUUCCUACCUCCAAUCGUAAAAGGUAUGAUAAACAAGAGAACAAGGCCAACGAGCUUCCUACCUCCAGAUCAUCCCUGCUCCAACCCUAGCCCGAGCUUAAGUUCCAUUGGCAGUGUCUUUGUAA